rnacentral:rRNA from 1 species
GAUGAACGCUGGCGGCGUGCCUAAUACAUGCAAGUCGAGCGAACAGACGCUGAUCUUGCUCCUCUCACGUUUGCGGCGCACGGGUGAGUAACACGUGUAUACUCUCCCUAUCUGACUGGGAUCACCUCGAGAAUCCGGCUCUUAUACCGUAUAAUAUCUUGAACCGCAUUGUUCAAUAGAGAGAGACGGUUUUGGUGUCUCUUCUAGCUGCUUCCGCGCCGCAUUAGCUAGUUGUUACGGUCACCGCUUAUCAAGGCAAGGAUGCGUAACCGACGUACGGGAGGGGUAGGCGACAUGGGAACGGAGACACGGACCAGACGACUACGGGAGGCAGCAGUAGGGAAUCUUCCGCAAAGGGCGAAAGCCUGACGGAGCAACGCCGCGUGAGUGAUGAAGGUCUUCGGAUCGUAAAACCCUGUUAUGAGGGAAGAACAAAUGUGGAAGUAACUAUGCACGGCUUGACGGUACCUAAUCAGGAAGCAACGGCUAACUACGUG